rnacentral:rRNA from 1 species
AUUGAACGCUGGCGGCAGGCCUAACACAUGCAAGUCGAGCGGAUGAAGGGAGCUUGCUCCUGGAUUCAGCGGCGGACGGGUGAGUAAUGCCUAGGAAUCUGCCUGGUAGUGGGGGAUAACGUCCGGAAACGGGCGCUAAUACCGCAUACGUCCUGAGGUAGAAAGUGGGGGAUCUUCGGACCUCACGCUAUCAGAUGAGCCUAGGUCGGAUUAGCUAGUUGGUGGGGUAAAGGCCUACCAAGGCGACGAUCCGUAACUGGUCUGAGAGGAUGAUCAGUCACACUGGAACUGAGACACGGUCCAGACUCCUACGGGAGGCAGCAGUAGGGAAUAUUGGACAAUGGGCGAAAGCCUGAUCCAGCCAUGCCGCGUGUGUGAAGAAGGUCUUCGGAUUGUAAAGCACUUUAAGUUGGGAGGAAGGGCAGUAAGUUAAUACCUGGCUGUUUUGACGUUACCAACAGAAUAAGCACCGGCUAACUUCGUG